rnacentral:tRNA from 1 species
CAGAAAAUAGUUUAAUGCUAGAAUUCUGGCUUUGGGUGCCAGGGGUGGGAGUUAAAAUCUCUCUUUUCUGG